CGUCGUGAAGGGUCGGGAAGAACAUGGAGGUCAGAAUCUCAUCAUCGAAGAACAUACAGACGUGCAGUUUCUCCAGGACGUACGCUGUUAACACAAAUGAGCAGAGAUGUCCAAGAAGGAGACAGCAGAGAAGUCCAGGAUCAGGCUGUGGAGGUCCACUCUGGGUACAAUGAUGUCAGCGGGAAGCUCGGCAUUCCAGUCCAUCCGGAACGGAAGACCCUUAAGACCGAGAUCCAGGCCCAGCAGGAUGGCACCCAGGCACGUUCCCACCCACACCACCUGCAGAAAAAACACCUGAGGUCAGACCCUGGAGGAGAAUAGACUGUGGCAGAUACAGGAUUUCUCUGAACUGCAUCAGCAUGCCCUUCAGGUUGACAAUCACCAAGGCACCCAGGACAGACUGCAGUCAGAUUGAAUAUUGAAAAUAUGAUAGAGAGUGGACCGCUGAGGCCUGGAACACUCAGUCCCAACACAAACUUGAGCUGGGACACCAAGAUGUGGACAGCAGCUGCUGUGGUGAAGCUGGACACCAGAGUGUCGGACAGGUACACAACAAUGAAGCCCACCUGCAGAACACCCAUGGCGAGCUGCAUGAGACGGGAAAAAAUGGAGAAAAAAAGAAGCUUGGUUUGAAAACUCUUCCAAGGCCAUGCAGAGUGAGUGGUAUGGACUGCAGAAACAGAGUCAAGUCGACCUGGAAGAUCCCCAUGAGGAAGGUCACAGAGGAGGCCACCAGGACUCUCUGCUGGUCCUGGGUCAGACCCUCAAAGGCUGUGAUAUUUGCUGGUGCUCUGUCCUCUGGGACCAGGCGGGUCACCACGGCACCCACCAUCAGGCUCAGGACUGGGAAGGAACCUGCAGGACAGAAGGGUGUUGAUGGUCAUCAUCUUCUCAUCCACAAGUUAGAACCUGGUCUCUCGAUCUGGUGCCUGUCGGGGAAGAAGGAACUGUUUGAGCCCGUUUCACAUUGGAAACAUAUCAAAAUACUCCGGGUGUUUCUCGAGGAUGUGCAGCAUGGCGUCAUGCAGUGUCAGGAAGAACAUUGACGGCUUAACUUCAUCAUCGAAAAAGCAACAGUGGUGCAGUUUCUCCAGGAUGUAAGCUGCAGAUAUCCGUCCCCUUGAUGUUGGCCAGCACACUGCAGCGAGGGCUGAAAGACGUAAAGCUUCAGUAACGACACUUUGCCUGCUUUGAAAUAUUUAAAAUCCACUACUGAGUUAAAACAAGACUAAGAGUCUACAGAGUUUGACAGAAAAGUACAAGCUAAGACAAAACAAAAAAGGUAAGUAAAUAAAGUUUUGAGUCAGGAAAAUUAAAAGGUUGGUGUUCAGAUACUAACAACUGAGCCCUGAGGACAACACUGAGCAGCUCCACACCAAGGCCUACAGCCAAUCCAAGAUCCAGUCCCAGUAAGAUGGCUGCAAUACAGGUACCUAACCACACAACCUGGACAUGGAUGAAGGUAUGGGAUCUCUCUGAACUGCAUCAGCAUGCCCUUCAGGUUGACGAUGACCACAGCACCCAGCACAGACUGUUAAAAUAAUAAGUCAGAGAGUAGACCUUUGCCACAGAGAAGGCCACAGCGAAACCCACUAUGGCCAUAGGAAACGCUUCGACUGCUGUCUCCUGUAAGAUGGGCAGGUUUGGAGCCAUCGGAGGCUCAUACCUGAAAAUGUACAGGACAGCGACCAGUCCAGUGCUGACGCCAGACACGAUGUCACUGAGCAGCCACUCUUUGACUCGGUACAUUUUCAUCCAGCCAAUGAUGGGAAGAAGAGAGAGAGCUGCAUUCUUGGCUCGCUUGGCAUCACAUCUGCGAUGAUAAACAGAAACAUAUAUAAAGUGCAUUCCGACCUGUACCUGUGCGACCACCCAACUCUAGCUCCAGGCAAAAGUGGUAAAAAUAAAUGAUGGACACACACUAACUGUGGAACACAGUCCACAUAUACUGUAUGUAAGAAAUACUGUCUUAAAAACUGUUGCCUAAUCAAGAAAAUCACUUGUAUGAAGAAAAUUAAAUAGAAAUGAAAUAAACACAGUGCACACUGUACAAUUCUCCCUGUGCAUCAGUUUCCUUAUCAGACAGGAGAGACUGUACUGUUUCUGCAAAAAAGUAGGACAGUAGUGUCACCAAGUAAAUGUCUUGUCAGCCAGUCUUACUAACUCUUUUGUUGGAACUCACUCUGGUUUAUAGGGAAAGGAGAACUGAGAAACAUAAUUAAUCCUUGGUCUGUUUUGUUUUUUUUCUUUUCUUUUUCAAAAACCAGCAAAUUCCAGAGAAACAAGAACAAACUGCAACUUCACACACAGAGUGUCCUGGACUGUCCUUCUGGUGUGAACAAGACAGACAGAGGAGAUGUGCAGUCAGGGAAAAGUAGGUUGGUGUAAUCUAAUUUAUGUUGCAACACUGUAAAAAUCUCUGACAGUUACAACUGUCCUAUUUCAGCUCUGUCUCCUGGAAACAUCAAGUUUGUUUUGUAGGAAACUGGAACAGGACGCACAUUUCUAUUCUAUUUGCUGUUAACGUGAUGAGGACACAUUGUUCAUUUUACAUCAGAAAGUAUUCAGACCCCCUCGCCUUUCUAAACUAAACUGCAUCCAAUCAAUUCACUUUGUCACAGGUUGACUUCAGUCAAGUUCUACACAUUUGAUUUCUGGUAAAAUAUCUAAUCUUGCAGCACAACAACAGGUUUGGGAAAGAUUGUGGUCUGGUUUAAUAAAGAAAAAGUUCACUGAGAUUUCAAACCCAGCACAUGUAUUUACAUUUAACCAAAACCACAAUGUUUCCUAAACCUAACCCCAGACAGGACUCAGGAUGUGAAACCCGGUCAUUGGUGUAAAAGGUGUGUUUUUUUUUACAACCACCAUCCACCACCACCAGCCACCUCCUACUGACUGUGCUGCCGUCAAUAGAUGUGAGGCUUCAUUAAUUAAAAAAAAAAAAAAACUAGCUUCAUCUGAAUAUAAUCCAGCUGGAGAUUAUGUUUCCUACAAAAUGUAUUUGGUUUUGCAGUUCAUUUGCGUAUAAACAUAAUUUCCAGGAAACAGGGUUGUCUGUUUCCACAAGGCUGAGGAAAAACAGACACUAUGUGAAGAGACAGAGGAGAAAGAUAUGUGCUGAUCCAAGAGUGAAACUGAGGCAUUUGAGAAAUGCCUCAGUUCAAUAAUAAGAAGAAAAUACACUGUAAACUACUUGAAUAAACAGUUGUAUAGUAUCAGUAUUUGCUCUGGACGAGUCUCCCAAAUGACUGAGGUAAAACCAAGAUUUGACUGAGAAACAGAAAACGAGCGAAAAAGCGAAAUCCAUUAAAACUAAUGCUCCUUCAAAUGGUUCUCCAAUAAAAACCAUUUGUGUACGCUGGACACUGUCAACACCCGAGGCUUGAUACAUGAAAGGUGUUUUUAUGACACAGACUUUAAACCCAUCAUGGGCAAUAAAUAGCGACAACCGGAGAUAAUGUGGAGAUAAUGCCGGUGGACAACAGGACUAUUUACCAAUCUCAGAUCUGACAAUCUGCUUAUAAAGAUAAACAGAGAUUAAUGACAACAGGCUGAUGAUGAAGAUCAACAGCAGAUCUGUGCUCAAGACAGUUCCAGCAGAAAUGUACUGUGCUUUCCAAGUAAAUAACAAAUAAGUUAAUAACUGAUAAUGUUUUGAACCAAAACACCCUGAUUCAACAGAUUUACAGUCACAUGGAGGAUGCAGAGAAAGUGUAAAUACUGAGCAGUUAAAAUGUCACUUACUGAAGCAGACAGGUCACUCAACUCAAGCGUCUUUAAAGUUGUGAUAAUAUUUCUGCUUUUCUUGGCUUUAUAUCUUUGCCGAUUCACUGGAAACUGCAAAAGUGUUUAUACCAAAAUGAGCAUUGACCAAAGGACCACAGAUUGCUGUGCUGUACAGUUAUGCUGUGCAUGUGAGCAUGUUUGCCUCUCUGACUAAUGUCACCAGCCGUGCAGUGUUCCCGCACAGUGGCUGUAGCAAUCAUGUUUGAGGACAGAGCAAAUCCUCAGAGCUUUCUAUCCAGGGGUGAAUGCUGACAAGGGGUACAAGGUUUACAGGUUCACGUGGCCCGAGAAAAAUCAAUAAUAACAGCAAAGAACAAACAUCACAGUCAAGCCUAUUUCCAACCAUGAGGUCAAACUUUAAGUUUUCAUUGUAAAAUGUUACAUCAAACUCCGCAGAGCUGCUUCCUGGCUGAAGCAUCAUGACAAGGAGUUUCACUGCAGAGUAAAUGUUUAAUCCAACACAAUCAGAGUGACAUAAGCCUCCUGUUAUUACUGCUGGGUUCAUAAUCCAGUGAUCAAACUCCCAAAAAGUCAGGGCAGAACUUUAACCUCUGCAGUAUUCCCAGUAUUCCCCUUAAAUUUCUCCUCGAGUAGCUUUAAAGUUAGAUUAUGUAACUUUGGUAAAACUUUAUUUUAAAAGUGUAUAAUCUUUUACAGGAACAUUGACUGUGUUGUGCUGAUGCCAGAAGUAUCCAAGCUCUUUUCCUAUCAUGGCACCUACAAGGUGAUCUGAUGCCUUUUCUUCUAGUUACCACACCUGAAAUCUUGAGAUUCUGAAAAACAGAUGGUUGAAUGCAAAUCUUUUCCAACACAUUAAACCUUAGAGUUAACUUACUGUUAAUGUAAGCAUGUGAGGUAGCAUUUGUUGGCAUUUAGCUCAAAGCACCACUGUGCCUGUGUGCAGCCUCACAGAGAUGCCAGCACGGCUGUAGACUUGUUAUCUGGCUCAUAAAAUGACAAGUGUGCAGGAGUGAGUCUGUUAACACAGAUAUGGUGUAGAUAGCACAGUAGAUGCAGCAUCUGUUAUUGAAAAUAUUGUCUGAGACAUUUUGACUUUUACUAGAUUCUGUGUUUAAUACAGAGAGGUGGAACGGAAAGAAAGAGGUGCGACCGAGACAAAGGAUGCUGUGAUUACAAACCGUCUCUCUCAGCCAACUGGGCCACAAAACCAGGAAAGUCUGUAGCUUCUCAUAUUUAUUCCUGAUUUCCAUUGUCAGUUGUGGUUCUUCCUUGUUUUAGUCAGCAUCUUUUUUCUGCCACAUCAUGGUGGUAUUUCUGAGACUUAGCCUGUGGUGGUGCUGGUUUAUUUCUCAUUCACAUGACUCGAAGCCUUUAUCUUUCAGGUUAAGUUUAAUGUUCAGAGCAUACAGGAUAAAGGACUGAUACAAUAAUGUUUAAAUAUUCCAGGCUCUAAAACACCUACCUGAAAUCUUUAAGACUGAUUAUGCAACUUUAUUUUUUUAUUAUCAUUAUUAUUAUUUUUUACACUGAGCAUUGAAACAUGUGAUUCAUAGUGAGACAGUCACAUUUUAUAGACCCAGGGCUGUUAUCUUGUGACAAUAGUCAAUUGUAUUGAACCAUAAAAUCACAUAAAUCAGAUAAUGCCUACAUCAGGACAUUAUGAAACACGUAAACUGCCUCAACAUGAAACGUCUCUCAUUAGACUCAUUCAGAGACUCAGACAAAGACCAUGGUAAGAAUCACUUUGGAGUGAUAUGGCUUUGUUUAUUAACAGUUGGACAUUGUUACAUUCAGUUUGUCUGAAGUCUUCACUUGUCCUUUAAUUUUUAUGACACAUUGCUAGAUUACAUUACAUCACAUUACAUUAAAUCCAGUAUUAAGUAGUUAAUCUUCGCCCCCUCAUGUUAAGACCUUGUUAAUACUAAUCCAAUAAUUAACUAUAUAAUAAUAAAAAACACUAACAGGGGCCAGCAGUUCUUUUACUUUGGACAAUUUCAAAAUAACCAUAUGUACUUCAUUUGAGUAAGAUUGCUGUACAUAUGUUUUACUUGUAAAGGUGUAUUCUUCAAAUUGUGGUGUUCCUGCUCUUACAAAGGAUAUUAAUAUCUUUUAAUUCAAACACUGGAGUCACUAACUUUAUAAUUUUGGGCAGCACAUGUGUGAGCAUGUGUGCUGUAUUACUCAGCAGUUAUAAUAGUGCAAUUAGGCCAUUAAAAAAUAAAACAAAUCAAAGUGGGGAUAAGGAACAGGGAGUGCUCUCCCCCGGACAAUGCUGGUGCCAUUCCGAGGUUUCAGAUCAGUGGUGUACUCUAACAUGUAAAUGCUGCAGAAACAUGACAGACAAUACACAAUAUGUUGCCUUGGCAGUAACUGAAUAAGACUGAGACACAGUGGGACAUAAUUACUGCUGUUUAUCUCUCUCUGGUUUCAAGUUGCACCACUGUGAUUGUGAUUCUUUGAUCUGCUAUAAGGUCCAAGCCAAUCAUUAAAUAUUAACACCAACGCUUUCAUAUGAGGGGAGCAGAAUGUGGUCAUCGGGGGCAAAGGUCAGCACCAUAUGAACUACCAUCUGACAAGUAAAAACAUGAGAAACUAUGACAGAACUCCCCACAGAACAAAGCAACACAUUAAAAUCACACUUGAUCAAAUUAUUUACCUUUAUGAUGUUUUGUCUCCAGACACCCACAAUCCCCCAAAUUGUGAGUUGUAGCAGGUAUAGACAUACCUGCUACAACUCACAAUAGAAUUUUUUGCAUGCUAAUGGAAGAGG